rnacentral:tRNA from 1 species
GCUGGGGUCGUAGCUUAAUGGUAGAGCACUUGCCUAGCAUGUGUGAGGCCCUGGGUUGGAUUCUCAGCACAGCA